CGUAGGAGACGAGCGUUAUCCGGAUUUACUGGGCGUAAAGCGUGUGCAGGCGGUUCGGCAAGUUGGAUGUGAAAUCUCCCGGCUCAACUGGGAGGGGUCGUUCAAAACUACCGAACUUGAGGUCAUCAGAGGAAGGUGGAAUUCCGGGUGUAGUGGUGAAAUGCGUAGAUAUCCGGAGGAACACCAGUGGCGAAGGCGGCCUUCUGGUAUGAUCCUGACGCUCAGACACGAAAGCUAGGGGAGCGAACGGGAUUAGAGACCCCGGUAGUCCUAGCUGUAAACGAUGUAGACUUGGCGUCGGAGGGUUCAAAACCUUCGGUGUCGUAGCUAACGCGAUAAGUCUACCGCCUGGGGACUACGGCCGCAAGGUUA
rnacentral:rRNA from 1 species